CUCUCACUAGAAACCACACCGGCUGGGAGCUUGCUGUGGGACUUCCAGCUUCCAGAUGGUCAGAAAUGAAUGUCUGUUGGUUAAACCCCUGGUGUAUGGUGCCUUGUCAGGCACCACCCCAGGAAUUAGAAGCUCUGCCCUGCAGCCAGCCUGGGAAACCCAGAGGAGGGAUGCUGUGUAACACCAGCCUUUCUCGCUGUCAGUGGUCUACAGGAGGACUUCUGUUCCAAAGUGAAUCUCAUGAUACAGGUGAAGGAUGUGACACUAUCCAUCCAAAGCUGCCAUUGGCACAGAAGUGGUGCUCGAUAACCCUGGAUGCCCUGUCCCCCAUUCUGGGGGCCUCCUGUGGUUACCUGCAGAGCAUCUGUGCUGCUGGCCAGAGUUGCAGACCUGCCUGGGACAUUCUGGUUAAAUUACCUCUCUUUUCUGUGCCCAUGAGGCAUCACCUCGAAUGCCUACAGACAGAAAGCACAUCUUUCUUUCCUUCCGGCAUAUGGUAUUUUGUAAGGCGACAGGUCUGCCAAGACAUCACAAAUCCCUCCAUGAGCGAGGCAGCUUUCCCCGAGACUGGGGAUGCCGCUUGCCACUGAGGCCUGUUAACAGAUGGCCCAGGGAGAGGCGGACGCUGUGAACCAAGCUCCGGUGCUUGAAGCAUAGCCGAGGCCUCAUGUUUCUUUUCAAGUUGAUACUGAUUUGCACAGGACAGGGAGAGCUGCUCAGGCUGUGGUUGCUGCAGUCCAAGUUCUGGAAUAAUCCUCUAUCUAAGGAGAAAGGGCCGUAAGGAGAACUGUGUGGGUGCUGGAGGGGAGGUGUGAAUGGUCUCGUGUCUCCAUGGGCAGGCGUCUGAAGAGCUCUGCGGGGGAGAUUUGACUUUGCAAACAUCUCCAGAGCAGGGUUUCUGUGGCUCAUUCCAGUUCGAAGCUGAGUGGCAGUUCUUGGCCACAUGGCACCAGAGAAGAUCAGAAGACUUUCACACCAGGCCAGGGAACACUCUGGUCUGUGGCAGUGCACUGCAGGAAAGGCUCCUGCUCAGGGAGUGGUAUCUCCAGGCUCCAAUGGCUCUGGUUCUGCCGUGUUGAGAUGUAAUUUAAGAAGAUGAAGCUAGAGACCCUCUGGGCUAAAAUCCAGGUGGGAGGUGAUGCAAGUCUGAGCUGGGAGAAGAUGGAUACAGGGAAUGAGAGGAUUAUUUAUGAAGCUAACUCGGCAAGUGGGACCAUAAGAAGCAUGGUCAGAGAAGACAAGCAGGAGGUCUGAGUCUUCAUUUCCUUUCUCAGCAAGGAGCCAGAGCUGGACCCCCUCAAUACUCUUUGGAGUCUUCAACUUUCUUGGCUAGUUAACACAGGAAAUCUGUACGUGCUGAAAUUUGGAUGGGAUGGACACUUUAAGAUGUAAAUAGAAGUUGGACGAAGUUCACAAGGUGACGCUCAGUUCUGGGAAAGGGGAGCACGGUCCUCUGGCUGGGUGCCCUCCUGAGCCCAGGGCUGGAGCAGCGGCCCCGAAGCACUGAAGCCCUCCAACGUCUGCCUUGGCGGAGGCGUUGUGCUGCCCGGACUGGAACGAGGACCCGGUGUGUUUCCAUUUCUGUAGUUGGCAGUCACCCUCCACGCCCUCAGUGUGCAGGAACGCUGGGGACCGUCCCCCGCCCCACCAGCCUCUGGGACUGAGAAAGGAGGACCGUUCCCACGGACAGUCAUCCUGAGGGCUCCGGCGUGGAAAUGUUAGCCAAAUGUGCCUUUUCUCGUCCUCACGCCUCCUUAGUUAAGGACAUCAAAUGUCAACUCCUCACACAUGACCUUAAGUUCAGCUUGGUUGCAGUAUGUGCUCUGGGCAGGAUCGUGUGCAGAGGGCCCUCCAAAGCUUCAUAAGCCGUCUCCUCUUUCCUCGGCUUCCAGAGCUCUCUCCUAGUAGAGGGGAGAACAGGCAAGCACUCGUCCUCCGGUGCUCCUGUUCCUGGGCCGCCUUUCUCCAGGAGGGCCUCUGGGACCUAAAGAUACUCUGUGCCCUCUGCUCCAGGUGUGGCAGGAAAGAGCAUCAUUCGUGCAGGACUCCUGAAGCAGCCACUCGGGGCCCUUGGGGCCUUUGUCAGCAUCUGAUAUCUUCACCAGGAGGCAAGACUUUCAAAGCCUGAUUUGCUCUUCUGGGCAAGAGAACACAGCACUAAAGGCCAGAAUUUGGCUUAGCAACUGGGGAUGAACAGGUACUAUUGUAUCACUGGUGGGUGUGCGAGGAGAUGAAAACAGGCUGUGUCCGUUUAUAGCAGCAGGCAGAAUGAAAGGACGCUGCCGGUCCACAAAGGGGCAGAAGUCAACCAUUUUUUGAGGGAUUACUGAGUGCCCUGCCCCCUCACAGGCUCCCAUUACCAAGAGGCUGCCUCUGUGCUGCACAUACGACAUGAAGCAAGCUGUGCUCCAGCAUGUGGGCAGGGCCUAAAGAGAUCACCUGGAGCUGGAAAUAAGCUUCGUGGAGCCUUCCUGACUCACACAGGGUCCAAGCAGGAGCUGAGAGAAUGGUCUCUGAAUAGGUGCCAACUGUAGAAUGAUGGUGGGGAGAGCCAGACAUGCUUGGUCCCUGCCUUCAUGGAGCUUAGUCAGUCGGGGAGAGAAUGCCAACGAAGCAUGUUUGGAAUGACAGCUGCAACGAGGGCCCAGCAUGGCAGUUGGAUGGCUUCCAGGCUCCUCCAGGUGUACUCAGGAUGCUGAACGUCAGGCCCUGGGACGUCAGGUUUCUCCUGACCACACUCCUGCCCAAGGCCAAUGCUUGUCUCAGGCUUUGUUUCUAGGGAGCCUGACCUGCUGAUAACCUCCCUAGAUGGAUUGUUUUAAAGAAUCCCCGAUGCCUUCAUGACCCCUCCUGGUGGCCUUCCAUCCACUGACACCGUCACUCCGCUUCGUGGCUACAGAUCCCCAGCUGUCUUUGCUGUACUUGGUUAAGUACCCUGCUGCAAUAGUCUUC